ensembl:lncRNA
UGUUGGGUUACCUGCCACCAAAAGAAGGAGAGGACUUGAGGAAGCAAGGUCGUGUUAAUGGAGAUUCACCUGCGCGUGGACACAUUCAAAUCUCUCAACAUUGCAGGCUCAACCACAGGAAGGGCCGGGAGGAUCAACUGUGGCAGCAAGACAGGUCAGAAAAAGAAAAAAACAUCAGUCUUCCUACAGCUCUCUGUCUAACAUACUGAAACAACUGUAGUGUUCAACAGUGGAGAUGGAUCUUAUGGUGGAUCUGAAGUCCUUUGGGGAUCCCAUCAAGCAGUUCAGUGACUACGUGUCGGGGACAGUGGCCAAACCGGAUAACAAACGAGAAGCCAAAAAGAGUACAGGAACCCGAAGGAAGAGUAUAGUCAUUAGCACGGGGGCCCGACGAAAGAGCGUAGUUUUGAGCACAGGGGCCCCCAAGAAGAGCAUAGUUGCCAGCACGGGGGCCCGACGGAAGAGCGUAGUUUUAAGCACAGGGGCCCCAAAGAAGAGCACAGUUGCCAGCACGGGGGCCCGACGAAAGAGCAUUGUUGGAGUCCGAAGACACAGUAUAGCCAGAAGAAAGAGUGCUCCUUGCGCUAAAACUUGUGCUAACCAGAGAACUGUACCAGACUCCUGGCUUAGAGUAUACCAGGCUGACAUUCAAAGAGAACGGAAACUGAGAGAGAAGAAGAUUGCAGAGAGAUCCGUCAGAAGGAAGAGCCAGCAUUUCAGGAGCCAGCAUUGCCUUCCUAAGAGUAAGCCUAACCCAAAUGCCAAGAGGAACCAGAAAUCGACAAAGGAUGAUUCAUUGUUUGGUGCUUUCCAGGGGCUUAGUCUCAACGUGACAGGAGGCACCCAGAGCUCAUUGACCUCAGGCGGGGACCAGUGUAAAGUCAUGUGAGAGACUCAUCACCUGUACUUGAUUACCAGGCUUUGCUCACGUGCAUGAAAGCUUGGCAGAGGCUAGACUGUCACCUAACACUUUAAUCGCGUCCAUGAGCCGGUUCUUUUGGUCGAACCUACAUAUUUUGGCAGUAGCAAUUGAACCUGCGGAACAAGGUUAACUGCACUUGGCCUGAAAAAAUUGAAGAUGAACUACAAAAAACACAACCUAAAUGUGUGAUGUGCUGAUAGGAAAUGACAAUGAAGCCAAAGUCCUAAAGCUUGAUUCAAGAUUAAGUCUGAGGGAAUGUGAAUAUACAUUUCUAUCGCUUGAUCGAUUCUUUAUGCAGUAAGAGAACACUCAUUAGUGCUGAUAAUAGUUCUGCUUGUCAUGAGCUUGUGUUGGUAUUUUCUGUUCCAGAAUAAAUUACGGCAGGGGUAUUCAGAUCUGGACCUCAAAUCCACUUUCACUCUAAUUUCUUUAUUGUAACACUAAUCAGGGACUUAUGUAGACCUUAGACACAAGAUUGGUGCACUUAGUGAUCAGGUAGAACCGUGUAGGGUAAGACUUGAAUGCCCCUGAUUUACAGUGUCAAGGCCCCGGACAUGAAUACUAUUGUUGUAUCCUAUAUGUGCAGACGUGAUAACGUAAUUGAAUUUGAUUUACAUUUUCAUCAACUUUAAGUAAAUGUACGUGUGUGUGUGUGUGUGUGUGUGUAUUGUUUUGCACAAUUUUAAAUGUAUAUUUGUCUUUUCCAAAACACAUUUAAAUGAAAUGUUGCACAAAACUAGUAGUCAUUUUGUCUCACAGAAC